rnacentral:rRNA from 1 species
CUUUCAAAAAGCGUUAAAGCUUAAUUAUUCCAUCACUAAUAAUUCCUCACACUAUUAUUAACCCUUCACUACUACUGAAUUAUUUUAUAUCACUAUAAAAGAUACUAUGCUAGAACUAGUAACAAGAAAUUGACUUUCUCCAAAAUGCAAGUAUAAGCCAAAAUGGACUAACCAUUGACAAUUAACGCCAAUGAAUAAAUUAUAGUAACAUAAACUAGAACACCCUAUAAACCAUAUAAGCGUUAACCUUACACUAGAACAUUACAGGAAAGAUUAAAAGAGAAAGAAGGAACUCGGCAAACCUUAGCCCCGCCUGUUUACCAAAAACAUCGCCUCUUGACAAAUUAUAAGAGGUCUAGCCUGCCCAGUGACAAAGUUCAACGGCCGCGGUACCCUAACCGUGCGAAGGUAGCAUAAUCACUUGUUCUUUAAAUAAGGACUAGUAUCAACGGCAUCACGAGGGCUAUACUGUCUCCUUUCUCCAAUCAGUGAAACUGAUCUCCCCGUGAAGAAGCGGGGAUUAUUGUAUAAGACGAGAAGACCCCAUGGAGCUUUAAACUCACUAUACACCUUUGUUUAUCUACAUCAUAAUAUCCUAAAAGACUUGUAUGCUAGUUUUGGGUUGGGGGGACCGCGGAGUAAAAACUAACCUCCACGACAAAUGGGCUAUGCCCUUAUCUAAGAACUACAGUUCUAAGAAUCAAUAAACUGAUGUUUAAUGACCCGAAUAAUCGAUCAACGAACCAAGUUACCCUGGGGAUAACAGCGCAAUCUACUUCGAGAGCUCCUAUCGACAAGUAGGUUUACGACCUCGAUGUUGGAUCAGGGUAUCCAAGUGGUGCAGCCGCUACUAAAGGUUCGUUUGUUCAACGAUUAAAACC